rnacentral:sRNA from 1 species
GCAGCCGAAAAAUCGGUUGUCGGGACUGGCAUCCCGGAUAUCUGAAAAGGCGCAUACCACGCCAGACGUGGUUUUUUU